UACGGAGGGGGUUAGCGUUGUUCGGAAUUACUGGGCGUAAAGCGCGCGUAGGCGGACCUGCAAGUCGGGGGUGAAAGCCCGAGGCUCAACCUAGGAACUGACUUCGAUACUGCGGGUCUCGAGUCCGGGAGAGGUGAGUGGAAUUCCUAGUGUAGAGGUGAAAUUCGUAGAUAUUAGGAAGAACACCAGUGGCGAAGGCGGCUCACUGGCCCGGUACUGACGGUGAGGCGCUAAAGCGUGGAUAGCAAACAGG
rnacentral:rRNA from 1 species